rnacentral:rRNA from 1 species
GCGGCGAGSGAAGCGGGAAGAGCCCAAUAUGAAAAGCCAGCUUGCUGGCGUUGUAGUUGAGCGUCUUUGGGGUGUCAGUUUGGGAAAGUGGCAUGAGAGUGCUCACCGGGGAGGGUGAAAGUCCCGUCCAUCCCAUUCAGGACACUUCGCACAAAGGCGUUUCAGAUGAGUCGGGUAGCUUGGGAAUGCUGCUCUAAUUGGUGGUAAAUCUCAUCAAAGGCUAAAUACUGGUGGGAGACCGAUAGCGAACAAGUACCGUGAGGGAAAGAUGAAAAGUACUUUGAAAAGAGGGUAAAAAGAACCUGAAACCGUUACGGGGGAAGCGGAUUGCGUUGGCCUGGUGGCUGCCUGUGUGUUCAGCCUGUUAUGGUGCAUUGAUACAGGUGGUUAUUCGUCGUGGCUUUUUGGUGGCUGAUAAUGAGCUGCUAAAGGGUGAGGGCUCCCCUUUAAUUUAGGGUGAGGACGACGGAGUGACGACGCGAUACGACCCGUCUUGAAACACGGACCAAGGAGUCUAGCGCAGGUGCGAGUCAAAGGGUGUUAAAACCUGUGGGCGUAGUGAAAGCGACUUUUGUAAAAACGAGCAGUUUGGGGCGGCAUAGAAUCGUUGAUUCUAGGUCUGACCUUGAGCAGUUGCGCUGGGACCCGAAAGAUGGUGAACUDUGCCGGAGUAGGGCGAAGCCAGAGGAAACUCUGGUGGAGGCUCGUAGCGGUGCUGACGUGCAAAUCGCUCGUCGAACUUGGGUAUAGGGGCGAAAGACUAAUCGAACCAUCUAGUAGCUGGUUUCCUCCGAAGUUUCUCUCAGGAUAGCAGGCCGACACUUUUACGUUGUUUUGUGCGGUAAAGCGAAUGAUUAGCGUAAUCGGGGGCGUUUAGCCUUUGGACGAUUCUCAAACUUUAAAUGCGCAAGGGUACCGGUGCUUUGUUGAGCGGUACCGUUAAAAA